CUUGUUGGACCUUGCUUGGGCCCCCGGCGUCUUCUUCUUAGGCCUGUUGGGAGUAUCAUCAUCCCUGGCUUCCCUCAAAAUCUGCGAAAUCUCUACUUCUAAUAAAGUAGUUGAUAGUCUCGCUUCCAGGAUUUUAUUAGUCCCAUCUUUUCUGAUUUUUUUAUACCUCCUUCCAUCUCUGAUUUAUCCAUCAUGAACCAAAAAAACCUUCUCCUGAGGCCCCAACCCGCACCCGCCCACGUAUAAAAAAUAAACUUAUAAAAAUUAACCAACGAAAAAAGACCUACCAAAGUUAACCAGCCAAAGAAACCUAAACCUAUCGCCCGCAUGUACGAGCGACCUCUCAUGCCCUCGAGCGAGGUCUCCCUUUGCCGCCGCGCUUCACUCACCGCCCUCCAUCCGCGCUUCACUCGCCGCCCUCCAUCCACGAAUCGUACGCACGAACGAGCAAAGCCUGCGUGCCCUCGAGCGAGAGCCACCCUCGCACAUCAAGCCGCCGCCGAUCCAUCCCUUCGCCGCCGCCCUCGCCCAUCAAGCCGCCGCCGAUCCCUGGCUACUUCGAUGGGAGCCAUCGAUCUUCUUCAGGAGACGGCGCCGAUCCCGUUGAGGAGCCGCCGCCGACCACGUCCAGGAUCCGACACCGAUCCCCUUCAGGAGCCGACGCCGAUCCCCUGAGCCCCUGGCGCUGGCCAGGCUCCAGAUCGAUGGACACGCCUGCUCGCCGCUCCUCGGGGCCAGCCCCUCCCGCCGCGCCGGAUCACGCAUCGCCUUGGGGACCCCUCGGGGAUGCCGCCCCACACCCAUCUGAUGCCAGCACCCCUCCCGCCAUGCUGCCCUUCUGCUCCGCCGCGCCCACCCCAUGCUCCCCCCUCUGCCCAGUGACCGCCGGCGCGCGGGCGCUGCGGAGGGUCGAGGCCGGCGCGCUCAGGUCCUUCCCCGCCGACCCGCUCGUCACGCAGGCGGUGCCCGACCGCCCGCUCUUCUCCGACUCCGCCAUCUUCUCCCCUACGCCGGCGCGCCCGACGACAUCGUGCCGAGGUUGCCUCGGCCGCCGAGCUGCCCGACCCUCUCUGGCGCGCCGGGGUCGACCCGCCGCUGAUGCCCGUCUCCGCCGUUGACCUGGCCGCGGACGCUGUGGUCGGUGCGGUCACCGACGAUGCCGCGCAGCAGGCCUGAUGGACGCGGAGAUGCCCACCACGUUCCCGGCCGACGCGACCGGCGUCGAGGAGUCCGUGGCCAGGUUCAUCGACAAGCUCAGCAAGCAGAUAUUCCAGGCGGAGGACGCUCUCACCGAAGGCUACGACAAGCUCAGGCUGUCGGCGUACGACGCUCUCGGGGCCUACAGGAAGGCGAUAAGGGGAGUCGCUGGUAGCCUCACGUCCUUGGUGGCAGCCACCGAGAAGCAGGCCGCUGGUGGGGUCCCGGACGUUUCCGGUGCAUUUCAGGAUAAGGUGGCCGGAGCUGGUGCCGUGGCGACUGAUGUUCAAUUGUUGUAGCAGAGGAUUCACUCACUGGGCAGUGCAACCACGUCGUCCCUCGUAUACUACUAUGGCUCGGCCAAGUCGUCGUUGCCACCAAAUGUUAAAGAUUUGCUGAACUCAUCCGAGGAGAAAGCUAACAUAGUAUUGCCACCAAUUGGAAGUGCCCUCCAACAGGUAUACAUUAUCAUAGAAGGCAUGAAAUUUUGGCUGAUUGGCUGCAUGUCGCUUCGGAUUUGGUGCAUGUGUGUGUGCGCGUGCGUGUGAUGUGCCGCUGACCGCUGUUGUGUGUGCUUGUGGCGAUGCUGCCUGUGAGUGUGAUUUUUGCCGCUAUCCUGCGUGAUUCUUGGUGCCUCGAGGAUGAGAGGAAGCCACCUAGAAAAUGGCCAGAAGGAAGCACCAUAUGUGCAGGUGUGCUCAUGUGUGUUAGAAGGACAAGGACUCGGCGGAUGAUUCCUCCUUGACUUUCUACCAGCUGCGCCCUGACUGCGUUCACAGCGUCCCCACGCCGUGUUCAAGACCAAGUUCUAACCCACAUAUCCAAUCUCCCUCCAUGGAUCUCGCCUCUCAUUGACCAAGAGCAACAAUUCAACUCAAUUUGAGAUUUACAAAAGAGAUGGACCUAGAGCAAACAACCUGCGAGGCUUGGUUCGUGUCCAUCGACAACGUUGCUGCCGUAUGUCAAGUGUGCUACAUCUGGUCGCUCAAGGCCAAGGAGGUGAUGAAAGGCUUCUUGAUAAGUUUUUAGCUGUCUGAUUCAAAUCCAUAUAGCUUGCGAGAUGAUGGCAUAGUAUUAUCUGACAUUUUAUCUGUAUUUGAUUAAAUGUCUUUCCCUUUAAGAAAUAUAGUGCAAUGGAAUUGAAUUUUAGAAACAACCGUUGGUUACUAUUAUUUGUGAAUUCUAUUUAACGCUUCACGAUU